rnacentral:rRNA from 1 species
GAUGAACGCUAGCGGCAGGCCUAAUACAUGCAAGUCGAACGGUGUCUUCGGACAUAGUGGCGCACGGGUGCGUAACACGUAUGCAACCUACCUUACAUUGGGGGAUAGCCUUUCGAAAGGGAGAUUAAUACCGCAUAAGACAGUAGCUGGGCAUCCAGCAGCUGUUAAAGAUUUAUCGAUGUAAGCUGGGCAUGCGUCCAAUUAGCUAGUUGGUGAGGUAACGGCUCACCAAGGCAAUGAUUGGUAGGGGAACUGAGAGGUCAAUCCCCCACACUGGCACUGAGAUACGGGCCAGACUCCUACGGGAGGCAGGAGUAGGGAAUAUUGGGCAAUGGACGCAAGUCUGACACAGCCAUGCCGCGUGCAGGAUGAAGGCGUUAUGCGUUGUAUACUGCUUUUAUACAGGAAGAAACGACUCUUGCGAGAGGCAUUGACGGUACUGUAUGAAUAAGCACCGGCUAACUCCGUGCCAGCCGCCGCAGUAAUAC